GCCAGCAGCCUGGGACUGGGGUAGCGGCCUCCCCUCCUUCUUUCCCUCCUUUCCUCCUCCUCCCCUGCUGACACCUGGCUGGGAGGGCCCUUGGAGAGGGCAGCAGCAGACUCAUGGCUGAAAGAAUCACAGUGAGGAUCGAGAUUUCCUUUGCCUUUCCGGCGGCAUUCUGUGAUGGAUGGGGAUGUCGGUGUGGACAUGGAGGAUUUGGGCCACAUGCUGAUGGAUAAUAACCCCCAGGCAGAGUUGUGCUGACCAUUCCCCCAAGUCAGUGUGCUGGGCACACUAGAGAAGCAUUUGUGUUUCUUAAUUUGUCCAUCAUGUUCGCCUUUAUUCAUCUUU